ACGUAGGGUGCAAGCGUUAAUCGGAAUUACUGGGCGUAAAGCGUGCGCAGGCGGUUCGGAAAGAAGGAUGUGAAAUCCCAGGGCUCAACCUUGGAACUGCAUUCUUAACUACCGAACUAGAGUAUGUCAGAGGGGGGUAGAAUUCCGCGUGUAGCAGAGAAAUGCGUAAAUAUGCGGAGGAAUACGGAUGGCGAAGUCCGCCGCAUAUGGUAAUAGUGACGCUCAUGCUCGUGAGCGUGGGUAGCAAACAG
rnacentral:rRNA from 1 species